rnacentral:rRNA from 1 species
AGUGAACGCUGGCGGUAGGCCUAACACAUGCAAGUCGAACGAGUGGCGGACGGGUGAGGAAUGACUCGGACUCUACUCUGUCGAGGGGGAUAACGUAGGGAAACUUACGCUAAUACCGCAUACGAUUGAAUGAGCCGAUGUCGGAUUAGCUAGUUGGCGGGGUAAAGGCCCACCAAGGCGACUAUCCGUAGCUGGUCUGAGAGGAUGAUCAGCCACACUGGAACUGAGACACGGUCCAGACUCCUACGGGAGGCAGCAGUGGGGAAUAUUGGACAAUGGGCGCAAGCCUGAUCCAGCCAUACCGCGUGUGUGAAGAAGGCCUUCGGGUUGUAAAGCACUUUUGGUGGGAAAGCGGUACCCAAAGAAUAAGCACCGGCUAACUUCGUGCCAGCAGCCGCGGUAAUAC